rnacentral:rRNA from 1 species
AGCGAACGCUGGCGGCAGGCUUAACACAUGCAAGUCGAGCGGGCAUAGCAAUAUGUCAGCGGCAGACGGGUGAGUAACGCGUGGGAACGUACCUUUUGGUUCGGAACAACUGAGGGAAACUUCAGCUAAUACCGGAUAAGCCCUUACGGGGAAAGAUUUAUCGCCGAAAGAUCGGCCCGCGUCUGAUUAGCUAGUUGGUGAGGUAAUGGCUCACCAAGGCGACGAUCAGUAGCUGGUCUGAGAGGAUGAUCAGCCACAUUGGGACUGAGACACGGCCCAAACUCCUACGGGAGGCAGCAGUGGGGAAUAUUGGACAAUGGGCGCAAGCCUGAUCCAGCCAUGCCACGUGAGUGAUGAAGGCCCUAGGGUUGUAAAGCUCUUUUGUGCGGGAAGAUAAUGACGGUACCGCAAGAAUAAGCCCCGGCUAACUUCGUG